rnacentral:rRNA from 1 species
UACGGGGGGGCAAGCGUUGUUCGGAAUUACUGGGCGUAAAGGGCUCGUAGGCGGCCAACUAAGUCGGAUGUGAAAUCCCCAGGCUUAACCUGGGAACUGCAUCCGAUACUGGAUGGCUUGAAUCCGGGAGAGGGAUGCAGAAUUCCAGGUGUAGCGGUGAAAUGCGUAGAGAUCGGGAGGAACACCCGUGGCGAAGGCGGCUCACUGGGCCGGUCCUGACGCUGAGACGCGAAGGCGUGGGGAGCGAACAGG